rnacentral:rRNA from 1 species
UACGGAGGGUGCGAGCGUUAUCCGGAAUUACUGGGUUUAAAGGGUGCGUAGGCGGCCUUGUAAGUCAGUGGUGAAAUCUCCUCGCUUAACGAGGAAACUGCCAUUGAUACUGCAGGGCUUGAGUACAGUUGCUGUGGGCGGAAUAUGACAUGUAGUGGUGAAAUACAUAGAGAUGUCAUAGAACACCGAUUGCGAAGGCAGCUCACAAAACUGUAACUGACGCUGAGGCACGAAAGUGCGGGGAUCAAACAGG